rnacentral:lncRNA from 1 species
CACAUUUGAGAGUUUUACAUUAUAUGUGUUAAGUAAGCCCCCUAGCAGAUAGGCUUCAUGAGACAAAAGAAGCUGAUGCCUAGUACUAAGCAGGUCAGCUGACCUCUGGAACUAAACUGAUCCCUAGUACUAAACAGGGCUCAAUGAAUAUUUAUUGAAUGAAUGAAAUAAUUAAAACAUAGGAAAGAUGCAUAAUUCAAUCCAGGAGCAAAAGGGCCAAUGGAAGAACAUGCUCAUAGGACAGCCACAUAGACAAAGCAGUCUAUGUGAAUGGUGCCUCCCAGAGCUGGCCAGUGCACAGAAUGAGUGAUAUGGCCCUGGAAAUGCAGAUUUGUUUUAUACCUAAAUUGUGUCUAUGCAAAAGAUUCUUCAUGAUAUCUCCAUGGCCUUCUCGUUUCAGGCACUACUGGUGUGGCCUUAAGCACAACUGUUGCACCUGGAAGUUCCAGUACAGGUAGGCUAACAAGCUGAGAAGAAACCUCCUGUCUAGAAAUAAGAUGGCAAAAAUGUCCUUCGCAUUGCUCUUCUUGUGUAAGAGCAUCACAGUAUAUUUCCCCGUCCUUCUGAAUCCUCACUCUUUCCUCGUUGCUUCUCUUUUUCUUCCAGAAGCCACAACUUCCACGGGAGUCGGUAGAACCACUGUAGUGGGAUGGAAAACAGGAGCUACCACUAGAGGAUCAGCAAACCAAGGAACUGGAAGCACAAUAGGUAAAUAUGGCAGCAAAGUGGACCACUUGUCUUACUGCCAUUGAAUUCUAGAAAAAUGGAGUCCUCUGUUGAGGAAUUUGCAUCUUUAUUUGGUUUGGGAAUAAAACUAUGCAUGAGAAAAUACAGGCCGGGCACGGUGGCUCAACACUGUAAUCCUAGCACUUUGGGGGGCCAAGGUGGGUGGAUUACCUGAGGUCAGGAAUUCAAGACCAGCCUGGGCAACAUGGUGAAACCUCUUCUCUACUAAAAACACAAAAAAUUAUCCAAGUGUGGUGUCAGGAGCCUGUAAUCCCAGCUACUCAGGAAGCUGAAGCAAAAGAAUCACUUAGACCAGGGAGGUGGAGGUUGCAGUGAGAGAUGGUGCCAUUGCACUCAUGUCUGGAUGACAGAGUGAGACUAGGGUAGCUUCUGGCAUCACACCUAAACCUGCCAGCUGGUGAGAGUCCUCCACGGAAUGAUUUAGUAGUAAAGUGCCUCCCGUGGCACUGUUAUUAUGAAGAGUGCAUCCUUUAGUUUACUCACAAUUCUAAUUCCUCUCACCUCAUAUUUUCGUACCUUUUCUCUCUUAGAAGCUACAACAUCCUUUAGAGACACUGGGACCACAGGAUGUGGAAUGAAUACAGCUGAGCACACACGCUUCGUAACCUGUCCACUUUUCACUUAAAAUAAUAUCAAUAGUAGCUAACAGUUUCUAGCAUGAACUGUGUUCCAGGCACUAGUCCGCAUUUUUGUCAUUAUUGUUUCUUUUAUCUCUUAUCCCAAAUUGUGAGGUAAGCACUGAUGUUCUCACAGACUUUCCAGAUGAGGAACAGAUUGUUUUCUCAUCCAGAAAGUCUGUGAGAACUUUCCACAGAUUAUGGCUCAAAGAUAUUAACUAACUUAUUGACGAUCACACUGCAUGUAAACAACAGAUCUCAACUCAGGCACUCUGGCUUCAAAAUCCAUCCUCUUAACCAUGAUGCUAAAUCAUCACUCACUCAUUUGUCAUGUCUCCCAACUCUUCUAGAACACUGCAAUUUCUACAACACCAAUAUUUUACCCAAAUGAAAAUUCGAUAGGUAAUCAAUCCUGCUUUGUUCCUUCUUCUAGGGAUAUCAGGUGGCCAAGUCACUAGCACUCAACUAGGUAAGUAAAGUACCUUUGUUUUCCUGACGGCCCAGAAAAAGAGAUGUUCUCAUUGAGACUCCACCACCACCUCACACUGCACCCUUCCCCCAUCAAAUUUAUAGUGAGAAUGGAGCAUUACAUUUGAAAGCACACAAAAUAACUUUGGAACAGGCCAUCCCUGAAAAUGGUCUUUUUUCAUAAUGAAGGAUUCUGUAGUUGCCUCAUUCUAUUAUAGAUUGCGCCUUUAUUAUAAGAAUAAACUUGAUAUAGUGGUACCGUUCCAUUUUGUUUUAGGUACUACUGGAGUGGUCUCUGGCAACAUGUCACCUAGCAGUUCCAACACAGGGGAGUCAAUGAGGAAACAGAUGCUAUUUUCUUUUCUCGUUGGGGGGCUAACUUGGAAGCAAUGAGACAUUAUAUCUUUUGAUGAUUUUCUGUUAGCCCACACUAAUUUCUUUCUGUUUAUUCUUUGUAUUUAUUUCUUUUUAAACUUCCAUGGAAGGAAGAGUAACCAAUGAAAGUGGAAUUGGCAACCAUAUAUAUAUAUGAAUAUGAAUGAAAUAUAUAUAUAUAUAUAUAUAUAUGAAUGAGAGAAAUAAUGAGAAAUGAGAAAUAUAUAUCUUCUUGUGCCAGUCUCACUCUGUUGCCCAGGCUGGAGUAGAGUGGUGUGAUCUUGACCUACAGCUAAUUCCAUCUCUAGGGUUUAAGCAAUUCUCCUACCUCAGCCCAAGUAGCUGGGAUUAUAGGUGUCCACCACAACAACCAGCUGUUUUUUUUUUUUUUUUUUAAUUUUUAGUAGAGAUGGGUUUUCACCAUGUUGGCCAGGCUGAACGUGAACUCUUGUCCUCAAGUGGUCUGCCUGCCUUGGCCUCCCAAAGUGCUGGGAUAACAGGCGUGAGCUGCCACACCUGGCCAAAGCAUUGGCAACUCUUGAGUUCCUACAAAUCUACAUUGGGUUUUUGUCUUUUCAGAGAUAUUUGUUAAACAAAGCUUAUAUUUAUAAAGUCACAUUAUUUCUCCUGGGUCCCAACCUUAUACUUUAAUUAUAGAAAAAGAGGCUCAGAGUCCAGAAAGAUUCUCCUUUUAACACUCAAGCUAUACUCUGGUACAUACAAAGGCAACAUAAAUACAUAUAGCCAUAUUUAAGGCAGCAGAUAGAAGUUACUCUGGAGGUUUAGAUCUGUCAUGUUUUGGAAUUCAGAUGUUAUAAGUUUAUUGAAUCCAGUUGAAUACCUUUACACAAAUAUUGUUUUCAUUUCUUAAUGUUGUUAGAAGCUACCAGUGGCACAUCUGAGAGACAAAACCCUGGAAGUGAAACAGGUAAACAUGAAAGAGACCCAGACACCUCUGACAUUUAACUGUAAGGAGGCAAAUAAGGCUGGACUAUGAACUAAUGUGUUUACUGUGACUCUGAAUUUAAAAAUGGAGGACACUUCAUCAUGACAGGAUAGCACAAGGAAGGUCUGCUGCUGCUUUCAAGUCAUAGACAGUUAUAUUGGCCAUGCUCUUCUUGGGAUGGUAAAUGCAUCACCAUUUGGGUUCUUUCUCUCUCCCUGCUUUAGGCACCACUGGUAUAGUCUCUGGCACAACAGUUGCAUCUGGAAGUUCCAAUACAGGUAACCUAAUAGGAAUAAAAGGGGCCUCAGUCAGGAAUAUGACUGAGUCCCUCCCCCUAAACAUAUACACUCCUUACCAUACCCUGGAAACACCACCAGAUUGUCUCAGUUAUAGGAUUCUUCUGAAUUUAAUUUUUUCUCCUUUUACUUAGAGGCCACAACUUCUUUGGGCAAUGGUGGAACCACUGAGGCUGGAAGUAAAAUAGGUGGGCACUAGCAAUCAAAUAAUUAUUUUUCUUUUCAUCUUAAAUUAAAUCAAAUGGGCUAUAAUGAACUUAGUGGACAUUUUACUCAGUCACUAAGUACAUAUUACCAGGAAAUUAACAGUUUACUCCCUGUGAAUUUUCCUUUACUUAAAACUUGC